rnacentral:lncRNA from 1 species
CUCUGAAACAGAUCCAAGAUGUUGUUUGAGCCAUGCAACUAGAAGAUCUCAUAGAACUAAAGUUAUCUAAUUUACAGAAAAGGUUUUACGUGAUGUCUAUUGUACAGAUUCAUAUGAAAACCAUAGUUCAAACUCCAAGGUUUAAGAAGUAAGAAAGAUCAUGUCAUUUGCAACAAACAUGCAUGCAUAUUUGAAAAGCAACUGUAAGUAUGCUAUUGGACAUUGGUAAAGAUUGAAUAUCUGACCAUGGCAUAUCAAGAAACCGUGGAAUGAGUACUGCUUAUCAAGAUCUGGGUGUGAGAAGACUUAAAAAGUCAGAUAGUCAGUGAGAACCAGCUAGAAUCCAUGAUCUGUUGUGGGAAAACUAGAAGACCAAAAAAAGCACAAAAGUCAAGAAAGAAGUCUCUUUUCACAUGAAAGUGGCCUGAAGACAAAUACCACUAUGAAUGGUUACAUCUAGGACUUCUGAGAUUAGCCCCAGAUUCAACUCAUUUUUUUUUUGCAUUUGCUCAGCAAUAUGACAUGUUUACACUGAUUAGCUAAAAAGUUAUGUGAAGAAUGGGCAACAAUAUCUCUAAGGCAAGAUAUGCUCAGAUCCAAUAUAGUUCAUAUAGACCUUGUCAGAGUAAAUGACCAUGUGCCUUUCAGAACACUAAAGAAUAAAGUCCUUCCACAUUAGAAUGACAAA